GAUGAACGCUGGCGGCGUGCCUAAUACAUGCAAGUCGAGCGGACAGACGAUGAGCUUGUUGCGCGGACGUUAGCCGAGCGCGUGUGAGAAACGCGUGGAAAACGUACCUGAAAGAGUGAGAUAACCUCGGGAAUCGGGAGAUAAUAGCGGAGAAGAUAUUGAAGCACAGGGUUCGAUAGAAAAAGACGGUUGUUGUGGCACGACUAGAGGGAUCUGGGCCGCAUUGGGUAGUUGGUAAGGUAACGGCUUACCAAGGCGACGAUGCGUAGCCGACCUGAGAGGGUGAUCGGCCACACUGGAGCUGAGACACGGACCAGGCUACUACGGGAGGCAGCAGUAGGGAAUCUUCCGCAAUGGGCGAAAGCCUGACGGAGCAACGCCACGUGAGUGACGGAGGUCUUCGGAUCGUAAAACCCUGUUAUUAGGGAAGAACAAAUGUGUAAGUAAAUAUGCACGUCUUGACGGUAACUAAUCAGAAAGCCACGGCUAACUACGUG
rnacentral:rRNA from 1 species